GCCAAAGACCGAAUCGCCCUGAAUGUGCCCAAAAUUUGUCGGAUCUCAGAAGCUAUGCGCGCUCGAGUCUGGUUAGUACUGGAUGGGAGACUGCCUGGGAAUAAUGGGCGUUGUCGGCU
rnacentral:rRNA from 1 species